rnacentral:rRNA from 1 species
UACAGAGGGUGCGAGCGUUGUUCGGAAUUAUUGGGCUUAAAGGGCGCGUAGGCGGUGCGGUAAGUCACCUGUGAAAUCUCCUGGCUCAACUGGGAGCUUGCAGGCGAAACUGCCGUGCUGGAGUGUGGGAGAGGUGAGUGGAAUUCCCGGUCUAGCGGUGAAAUGCGUAGAUAUCGGGAGGAACACCAAUUGCGAAGGCAGCUCGCUGGGACGUUACUGACGCUGAGACGCGAAAGCGUGGGGAGCAAACAGG